GCUCCAGGCUAUACUGUACUAGUUGAAGUAAGAAGAGUGUCCACGGGGUGAUCGUCAUGCAUCUUGCCGGCGGAUAAUUGCCGAAUUUGAACAGAUCUUACCAAUUGGUUUCCGGAAGGCAACUAGCAUGUCGUGUUGGAUAAGAUUUGGAAGUGUGACGACUCAGAACCAUUCCGAGAGCCGGUAGAUACCCUUCUGCAUCCAGAUAACCAACAACGAUGAUGAUAAUGAGGCGGGUCUAUCGAGACGGCUAGCCCGAAAUGGAACAACUAGGAGGAUUUCAGAUCGGGGUUUCGUCCAAUAAUAACGAAAUCGCAAUCGCAAAAGCUGAUCAGGAAGGCCACGACCAAGGCCAUCAUUGUCCUGACUGGAACGACUUGUGUCGGAGGGCUAAUCAUGUUCCCCGAAUUCAU